GUGAGGAAUAUUGGACAAUGGGCGCAAGCCUGAUCCAGCCAUGCCGCGUGCAGGAAGACGCAUCUAUGGUGUGUAAACUGCUUUUGUACGAGAAGAAACACUCCCUCGUGAGGGAGCUUGACGGUACCGUAAGAAUAAGGAUCGGCUAACUCCGUGCCAGCAGCCGCGGUAAUACGGAGGAUCCAAGCGUUAUCCGGAAUCAUUGGGUUUAAAGGGUCCGUAGGCGGUUUAAUAAGUCAGUGGUGAAAGCCCAUCGCUCAACGAUGGAACGGCCAUUGAUACUGUUAGACUUGAAUUACAAGGAAGUAACUAGAAUAUGUAGUGUAGCGGUGAAAUGCUUAGAUAUUACAUGGAAUACCAAUUGCGAAGGCAGGUUACUACUUGUGGAUUGACGCUGAUGGACGAAAGCGUGGGGAGCGAACAGGAUUAGAAACCCCUGUAUCC
rnacentral:rRNA from 1 species